rnacentral:rRNA from 1 species
CAAUAGCGUAUAUUAAAGUUGUUGCAGUUAAAAAGCUCGUAGUUGGAUUUCGGGGCAGCCUGGCUGGUCCGCCGCAAGGCGAGUACUGGUCAGCCGCCCUUCCUCUCGAAAGCCCCGACUGCUCUUUAUUGCAGUGGUCGGGUAGUUCGGGACGUUUACUUUGAAAAAAUUAGAGUGUUCAAGGCAGGCCUACGCCUGAAUACAUUAGCAUGGAAUAAUGGAAGAGGACCUCGGUCCUAUUUUGUUGGUUUCCAGGACCGAAGUAAUGAUUAAGAGGGACAGUUGGGGGCAUUCGUAUUUAAUUGUCAGAGGUGAAACUCUCGGAUUUAUGAAAGACGAACAACUGCGAAAGCAUUUGCCAAGGAUGUUUUCAUUAA